rnacentral:lncRNA from 1 species
AGGCACACUUGAAGUAGCCUGCUAAUUCCAAGCCAACAGCCUAGAUUUAGUACUUUAAUCUAAAUUAUUAUUGUAGAUAGAGAGCAUCACUGAAAGCUUACUGAACUGCUAUAUAUAUAGGACGCGAUCAUGGCGGAGUAGCACAUAGUGGCCUAAGGCGUUGUUGGUUGUAUAUUGCUAUUUGAAAUUGAAAGAGCUUUCUUUCGACCCC